rnacentral:rRNA from 1 species
AGUGAACGCUGGCGGUAGGCCUAACACAUGCAAGUCGAACGGCAGCACAGUAAGAGCUUGCUCUUACGGGUGGCGAGUGGCGGACGGGUGAGGAAUACAUCGGAAUCUACUUUUUCGUGGGGGAUAACGUAGGGAAACUUACGCUAAUACCGCAUACGACCUACGGGUGAAAGCAGGGGAUCUUCGGACCUUGCGCGAUUGAAUGAGCCGAUGUCGGAUUAGCUAGUUGGCGGGGUAAAGGCCCACCAAGGCGACGAUCCGUAGCUGGUCUGAGAGGAUGAACCCGCCAAACGGGAACGGAGCCACGUCCCAGACCCUUACGGGGGGAAGCAGGGGGGAAAAUUGGAAAAUGGGGCAAACCUUGACCCAGCCAUCCCGGGUGGGUGAAGAAGGCCUUCGGGUUGAAAACCCCUUUUUUGGGGAAAAAAAAGCCGCGGGUUAAUCCCCCGCUGUUCUGACGGUACCCAAAAAAUAAGCACCGGCUAACUUCGU